rnacentral:rRNA from 1 species
GAUGAACGCUGGCGGCGUGCCUAAUACAUGCAAGUCGAGCGAACAGACGAGGAGCUUGCUCCGCUGACGUUAGCGGCGGACGGGUGAGUAACACGUGUAUAACCUACCUAUAAGACGGGGAUAACUUCGGGAAACCGGAGCUAAUACCGGAUAAUAUAUUGAACCGCAUGGUUCAAUAGUGAAAGACGGUUUUGCUGUCACUUAUAGAUGGAUCCGCGCCGCAUUAGCUAGUUGGUAAGGUAACGGCUUACCAAGGCAACGAUGCGUAGCCGACCUGAGAGGGUGAUCGGCCACACUGGAACUGAGACACGGUCCAGACUCCUACGGGAGGCAGCAGUAGGCAAUCUUCCGCAAUGGGCGAAAGCCUGACGGAGCAAGGCCGCGUGAGUGAUGACGGUCUUCGGAUCGUAAUACUCUGUUAUUAGGGAAGAACAAAUGUGUAAGUAACUAUGCACGUCUUGACGGUACCUAAUCAGAAAGCCACGGCUAACUACGUG